AUUGAACGCUGGCGGCAGGCCUAACACAUGCAAGUCGAACGCCCUGGCAACAGGGGGUGGCAGACGGGUGAGCAACGCGUGGGAACGUGCCCUUCGGUUCGGAAUAACUCAGGGAAACUUGAGCUAAUACCGAAUACGUGCGAGAGCAGAAAGAUUUAUCGCCGAAGGAUCGGCCCGCGUCCGAUUAGCUAGUUGGUGAGGUAAUGGCUCACCAAGGCGACGAUCGGUAGCUGGUCUGAGAGGAUGAUCAGCCACACUGGGACUGAGACACGGCCCAGACUCCUACGGGAGGCAGCAGUGGGGAAUAUUGGACAAUGGGCGCAAGCCUGAUCCAGCCAUGCCGCGUGAGUGAUGAAGGCCCUAGGGUUGUAAAGCUCUUUCGCCAGGGACGAUAAUGACGGUACCUGGAUAAGAAGCCCCGGCUAACUUCGUGCCAGCCGCCGCAGUAA
rnacentral:rRNA from 1 species